rnacentral:rRNA from 1 species
GAUGAACGCUGGCGGUAUGCUUAACACAUGCCAGUCGAACGGACUCUUCGGAGUUGGUGGCGGACGGGUGGGUAACGCGUGGGAAUCUGGCUUUGGGUUUGGGACAACCACUGGAAACGGUGGCUAAUACGGGCUGUGCUGAGGGGUAAAAGCGAAGUUGCCUGAAGAUGAGCUCGCGUCUGAUUAGCUAGUGGGUGAGGUAAAGGCUCAGCAAGGCAGCGAUCAGUAGCUGGUCUGAGAGGAUGACCAGCCACACUGGGACUGAGAGACGGCACAGACGACUACGGGAGGCAGCAGUGGGGAAUUUUCCGCAAUGGGCGAAAGCCUGACGGAGCAAUACCGCGUGAAGGAAGAAGGCUGUUGGGUUGUAAACCUCUUUUCUUAGGGAAGAACAAAAUGACGUUACCAAAGGAAUCAGCAUCGGCUAACUCCGUG